rnacentral:rRNA from 1 species
AUCCAGACUCCUACGGGAGGCAGCAGUGGGGGAUAUUGCACAAUGGGGGGAACCCUGAUGCAGCGACGCCGCGUGGGUGAAGAAGCGCCUCGGCGCGUAAAGCCCUGUCAGCAGGGAAGAAAAUGACGGUACCUGAAGAAGAAGCCCCGGCUAACUACGUGCCAGCAGCCGCGGUAAUACGUAGGGGGCAAGCGUUAUCCGGAUUUACUGGGUGUAAAGGGGGCGCAGACGGCGAUGCAAGCCAGGAGUGAAAGCCCGGGGCCCAACCCCGGGACUGCAUUUGGAACUGUGUGGCUGGAGUGUCGGAGAGGCAGGCGGAAUUCCUAGUGUAGCGGUGAAAUGCGUAGAUAUUAGGAGGAACACCAGUGGCGAAGGCGGCCUGCUGGACGAUGACUGACGUUGAGGCUCGAAAGCGUGGGGAGCAAACAGGAUUAGAUACCCUAGUAG